rnacentral:lncRNA from 1 species
CCUGGCUAAUUUUUGUAUUUUUAGUAGAGACGGGGUUUCACCAUGUUGGUCAGGCUGAUCUCAAACUCCUGACCUCAGUUGAUCCACCUGCCUUGGCCUCCCAAAAUGCUGGGAAUUGCAGGCGUGAGCUAACGUGCCCAGCCUGCCCUCUCUUAAUUAAUAUGCUCAUUCUGUAUGUCUAAGCCUCUUUCCUGCGUCUAAGCCGAAUUAACUGCUCACCCAUCUGUUACUAUAGCACUUCUCACAUUCUAUAUUUAUCUUUCAUGAUAGACUAACUCUUUGAGGGCAAGGGCUAUAUACAGUAAUAUGCCCAAAGUUACAGCAAACAAGAUUUAGAUUUAAAUAUGAGCUAAUCAAGUAAACUAGCUUGUGGUCUAAAGACCCAGAUUUGAAUCUGGCCACUAGUCCAAGUCACCUAAUUUUUUUUUUCUUUUUUUGCGACAGAUCUUGCUGUGUUGCCUGGGCUAGUCUUAAACUGGACUCAAGUGAUCCUCCCAUCUUGGCCUCCCAAAGUAUUGAGAUUACAGGUGUGAGCCACUGCCUGGCUUUUAAGUCUCUUUUUUUUUUUUUUUUUUUUUGAGACAGAGGCUGUCUGUUUCGCCCAGGUUGGAAUGCAGUGGCACAAUCUCGGGUCACUGCAACCUCCACUUCCUGAGUUCUAGCAAUUCUCCUGCCUCAGCCUCCUGAAUAGCUGGGAUUACAGGUGCCCACCACCACGCCCAGCUAAUUUUUGUAUUUUUAGUAAAAUGGGGUUUCACUAUGUUAGCCAGGCUUAUCUCAGACUCCUGGCCUCAGGUGAUCCCCCUGCCUUGGCUUCCCAUAGUGCUGGGAUUACAGGUGUUAGCCACCACGCCCAGCCUAUAUGUAUUUUUUGAGACAGGGUCUUGCUCUAUUGCCCAGGCUGAAGUGCAGUGGCAUGAUCACAGCUCACAAAUGCCUUGAUCUCCUGGGCUCAAGCUAUCUCCUCCCACCUCAGCCUCUUAAGUAGCUGGAGCUACAGGUUAUCUGCCACCACACUCAGCUAAUUUUUAAUUUUUUAGAAAGACGGGGUCUUCCUGUGUUCCCCAGGCUGGCCCCAAACUCCUGGGCUCAAGCAAUCCUGCCUUACCUCCCAAAGUGCUGGGAUUACAGGUGUGAGCCACCACAUCUGGCCCAAGUCACCCAAAUUUUUUACAGCUUGGUUUGGAAGGCAAUGUAGUAUAUUAAAAUUAUGGGCCCUGGAGUCAGAAAGAUCCAGGUUUGAAUACAGAGUCCGUCAUUUAUUAGCUUUAUGAAUUUGAGCAAUUUCGUCUCACUUGUAAAUAUAGGGAAUAGCUCCUACCUCUCAGGUAUGUUGCAAAAAACUAUAUAAAAGCACUUAGCAUAGUGGCCAUGACAGAGUAAGCACUCAGUAAAUCAUGCCAUUUAUCUCAUCUAUAAGGCAUGAAAGUAGAAUUUUACAAGUUGUACAGAAAUAGAAGGCUUGGAGUGGACACUACAUUAAAAGGAUAAAAAAAUGGAGCCAGGCAGAGGCAGGCAUCUAUAGUCCCAGCUAUUGAGGAGGCCUGAGGCUGGAGGAUCCCUUGAACCUAGGAGUUUGAGGCCAGCCUGGACAACAAUGUGAGAUUGUGGCUCCAAAAAAAUAAUAAAAAAUAGGCUGCUCUGCCUAUGGAGUAGCCAUUCUUUUAUUCCUUUACUUUUUUAAUAAACUUGCUUUUACUUUAUGGAAAAAAUAAAUUUUUAAAUGACUAGAUGAGAAACUUGAAUAUCAAUCUGAGAAAUAAAAUCUGAUUAGGAAUGUAAUUGGGAUAACCUGAAGUUUUGGUAAGAGUGACCUAAAGAAAACAGCACUUAGAUAAGCUACUUUGUUUUCCUUUUUCACUUUACUAUUUUUCUGAUAUAUAUUUGUUCAUAUUUAUGGGGUACUUGUGAUAUUCUGAGACAUGCAUAGAAUGUAUAAUGAUCAAGUCAGGAUAUUUAUGUUAUUCAUUAUCUCAAACAUUUAUCAUUUGUUUGUGUUGGGAACAUUUCAAAUCUUCUAGCCAUUUUGAAACUUACAUUAAGUAUAGUCACCGUACUAUGCUAUCAAGCAUUAAAACUUAUUCCUUCUAUCUAACUGUAUGUUUGUAUCUACCCAUUAACCUACCUUCCUUCAUCGCCCCACCCUGUACACCCACUACCCAGCCUCUGGUAACUAUCAUUCUACUCUCUACCUCCAUGAAAUAAAUUUUUUAGCUCACAUGAGUAAGAACA